AAUCCAACCUUCCACUACGCCAUCGUAAUCCAACAAUGGUAUUAGAGUGACCCUUAAUUGACUUAAUCAAAGAUCAUUAUUAUGAUCAUGAAUUAGAUUAGGUGUUAGUUACAUAUGUUGAUAUGUAUAUGAUCAUGAUUUUAUGAUUCAUUAUGAAUACAAUCGUAUAUUGUUAUGUUUUUUCUGUAUCAAUAGCAUGAUGUUAAAAUAGGAAAUAAUCCUAUUUAUUUUGUGGUGAAUCAUAUUUUCUUAGGGUUAUGAAUACUGAAAUUUGAAUGUGCAUG
rnacentral:lncRNA from 1 species